AUGUGGCAAGAUAUUGUUCGGGCGCGCUACCUGACUAACAAAUCUGUGGCCUCGGUUAAGCCCAGGUUUUCUGAUUCCCCUUGCUGGAAAGCCCUGCUUAAAGUCAAAGAUAUUUACUUUGUGGGCAGAAGGAUCCAUCUGGAAUCUGGUGACCUAGUUAGAGUCUGGAAAGAUUCCAUAAACGGGCUGAGUCCUUUCCAGACCCUUUACCCUUCGCUGUUUGAGAUUUGUAAUGAUCAGGAUUGCACUAUUGAUAGGUUCAAAUCUGUGGAUGUCCAUUCUUUCUUCAGAAGGAGGCUCACGCCUGAGCUGUCCUGUCAAUGGGGAGAAAUAAGUAAUAUGAUC
rnacentral:rRNA from 1 species